GAAGAAGGCGGAAAAGCCGACCUUUAUCCAUUUGCUUGCAGAAACAACGAGCUCUCUCUCGCGCAGCAACCACAAGCUCUAUUUUGGAGAAACUACGAAACAUCUCGACUUCUCUCUCAGAGCCCAGCUCGAGUCCUCAGAUAUGAAGAGGAUUUGUGAAGUUGCUGUGAUUUCAUGCUAAGUUUCUUUGAACGGAUUUGAGAAUUUGGGAUCGUAUGGGGUGUUUUGAAGGUUUUUUAUUUUAUUUUUUGUUUUGGGGAAAAAAAUGGUUAACAUGUCCUCUGUUAGGAUUUUCCUGGCAAAGAGUAUAGAGCAAGGGAAGGGAAAAAUGAGAGAGACACGGAUUGGAGCAUUUUUUUUUAAUACGGGUUGAGGCUUUUUUUUUUAAUUGAUUUGGGGUUCUGUUUGGGUUUGGGGUUGUGAUAUUUCUGUGUUUAAUUUGGUAUUUUCAUAGUUUGGAGUUGAGCGGUUAAUUUUUUGGACCUUAUGAUCUCAUUUGUGAUUAUCAAGUGCAUAAUGGUUAAUUUUUUUUUUGAAAUGGUGCUCAGAAUUAUCACCAUUUUUCCCUUUAUUUUUCGGUGGAAGCACUGUUCUCUUCAUGCUAAUUGUUGAAUUGUUCGAACCAGUCUGUUGUAUAUAUAUAUUUUCCCCGUUCCUCUGUUUGUUGUCUGUAUAAGUACGAAUUCAUCAAUUUAUCAAUUGGGUUGUUCUUCGUUUGUAAUUUCAUUAAUUGGGUCUUUAGAUACAUUUUAUUGUUGAGGAGGUGAGAUGUUGCCUACAAUAGGCAUCAACUAUUACAAAAACCUUUUUAAUGAAGAAACAAGAGAAAUAGAGACAAUGAAGAUUGUAAUCAACAGUUGGGGGGCAUAAUCGUUUCUGAUACCUUAAAAAGAAUGAAAAACAAAACUCAGUAUUUGGAUACAAAGAAAAUUAGGAAGUCAGAUAGAUGUUAACAUAAUGAAAAUAAUUCCACCGCUUCCCUCCUCUAACUUGAUGACCAUCCUUUUGGAACAAUGUUUGAUGAGUUCUUAUUUCGAAUGUGUUUGCCUAACCAUUGUAAAUUGCUGGAGGUCCUUUUGUUCUUUAUCUUGCUCACAAGCAUAUUGAUAUGUAAAUGUAUGUAAUAAUUUGUGUACUGAUAGGAUAUAUGCAUUACACAUGUUAUGUUUGUUACUGUUUUAAAGCAUUAUUAGAUAGCAUGUUGCAUAUUCUUUUAAUACUUACUUUAUUAUUGCAAAUUUGUGAAUCUUAUACCAUAGCAAAUCUUAUGAAUUCUCUUUUUCCACUGUAUCCAAGGUUGGGCAGAUGGUGUGCUUCGAUGUAUCAUUUUGAUAGCUUUUGAUAGCUUUUGUACUUACAAAACAAUGAGCAUCGUACCAAUCUGUGAAUUAAAGCCUUUUAGAAACGAUAUGAAGAUCAAAGUUAGAAUAUGCCGGUUGUGGAGACCCAAAAUGUUUGGACGCCAAAACCAAUUCAAUGGCUUACAAUGUGUACCGGUUGAUGAACUGAAUGAUGCCAUUGAAGCCUUGGUCUUAGAAGCAGACUAUGAGAUAGUAGCUCCAAAAAUUAAAGUUGGUUGUAUAUAUGAGAUCACACGGUUGCAUAGCCGUUCCAGUAAACAAACGUACAAGGUCAUACCACACACUGUACAACUAUACUUCAAUGGGAAAACAACUUUCAAACAAAUACCAGAAAGACCUCCACACAUUCCUGAGCACCGCUUUUAUUUAGUGGAUUACAGUGAAUUGUUAUCCCGUGUAGGUAAAGUUGAAAUUCUCACAGAUGUUAUGGGACAUAUCACAGCAGUGCAACCAUUGGAAGACAGAAUGGUUAACAAAGAAAGACUGGAAACAAAAUGUGACGUUCACCUUCAAAACACCAGGUAAUCAUUUUAUCAUGUGGUAAUCGUUCAUUAGACAUUGAAUACGUGUCAAGCGUAUAUUCAACUAUAACAUGACUGACAUUAUGGGAAAGAAUAGGCAAUUGUAUUUAGAUGGGUGGAAUACAAAAACUAUUGAUGCAGGAACCUGAACCUAUGGUGAUCCAUAUGCAAUUUAAGAAACAAAGAAGUGAGAGUUACACUUUGGGGAGACUGCGCCAGGACCUUUGAUAUUGAAGUUGUAACAUAACAACCAUCACCAAUUGUGGCUGUGUUCACAAGUCUCAAAGUAAAACGGUUCCUAGGAAACACAAUGCUUAGCAGUACCGGAUGCACUUUGUUUUUCAUAAACCCAAAAAUACCAGAAGCAGCAAAUUACAAAUCGAUUUCCAAUCAUGCUUUGAAAAUGAUUCCAACCUCAGCACAACUAAUGACACCAGAUCAAUUGGAUGCCGCUGAAAAACUAUCAAUAGGGCAAUUGAAUAUCUUGGAUCCAAAUCUUUAUGAGAACACUCCAUUUCUGUGCAGAGCAGCAGUUGUACGUUUGAUUUGAGUAACGGCUGGUGGUACAAGGCAUGUCCAAUCUGCUUCAAACAACUAAAACCAAAGCCUCAAAGUGACCUGCUGGUUUGUCCAACUGAUGAUAUUCAAAACCCUAUUGCUUGGUUCAAAGUUAGUUUAAUUCUUGAAGAUGCCAAUGACGAAACCAAUGCCAUCAUUAUAGGUAAAUCAGCCGAAGAACUAUUUGGAAUCACAUGUGAAGAAUUAGUAAUCAACAAAAGUUUCUGUGACCAAAAGGAAUUACCACAACAAAUACUUCGAGUAAAAGGUCAAAUCAAACUUUUCCAACUCAGACUUGGGAAAGUUAAAAGUGACACAAGCAGAAAUGACUUGCUCAUCCAAACUGUUUUCAAGGAUCAAGCACAAAUUCACCCUUCAAACAACAACAAAGAUGAUGAAGCAAUAAGUAACCUUGGGAAGAAACAUAUGGUUCAUGAAAUGUUACCAUGCACACCACCACUCUCACUCAAGAAAUCUCUACCUUCCAUCUCCAACUGAGAGCAGUUCAAGUUCAAAGAAACGACAAAGGGAGCCAGUCAAAAAGAGUCUUUUCACCUCUACACCAACAAAAAAAAUCUAAAAGUGAUACCACAAGUGGAUACAGUGAAGAGACCUAUGCAUUUGAAGAGACCGAUGACGAGAAUGUAGCAAACACAGAUAAAACUCCCAGUGAAUAGAUUCAUCGUUGUCAUGCAAGAUGGAGGAGGCACCAUUAACGUGAGGAGUUACGUAUAUGGGUGUCUUUAGUGAAACAAAUCUUACUUUUUGAGCUGUGUACAGUUUUAAACGUAAAAGUCUCCCUGGGAUAGGACCAUAGCUUUUGAAAAACAAUCUCUGAGGAUGAUAUACUAACAUCCUCAACUUUUUGCAUGUAAUAUAUAAAUGUAAAUAGAACUCUCUGGCUAUGGCGUACGACCAUCUCAAUUUUUGUCGUGUAAUAUAAGAAUGUAAUAUAUGUAUAUCCCUUACUUUGGCACAUAUUUUCUCAUGUAUAUAAGCCCUACUUUGUACA